UCUGUGGAGGAAAAAGAAAAAGGCAGUGUCACUCAGUAUUUUAAAGUGGGCUGUGGAGCGCUGGAAGCGUCAGCCAUGUACUCUAGGAUCCAAUCCCCCAGUGGAAACCCAGGGACCAGGAGAGGGUUAUGCUGUUCUCUGAAGCCCUGGUUCUGUGGUCAGGACGAUGGGAUCGAGACAUCAGAAGCCAAAGGUUUGGUGUCGGCUGUGUUAUUGACCAGAGGAUCUUGGUCAAGUUCUUGACCCACAGGUACCACAGAUCUCUCUCAUCUUGAUCUCGCAGGGUCACAUUUUUCAGAGGGAUCGUAGCCCAUCGACGUCAGAAUCAUGUGGGGGUCCUGCUGUCAUAAUGGAAUGUGUGACCCCAGGCAGAUUACUUAAUUUCUCUAAGUUUCAGUUUUUUAAUCUGUGAAAUGGGAUAGGGACGCCCAUUUCAGGGUAUUGUUAGCCUGAAAUACAACAUGUGAAAUGCUCAUGUUUCUUGGAGCAAGGUAAGAGUAGCUCUUUUUUUCCUGUUUUGCAAAGACCAUGUAAUGCAGGCUAGAUCAGUUUACUGAAAGCGGAGGCAGGAUCUGAUACAGCUCCCCUUAUCCAGCCGGUAAACAGAACUUGCGAGAUACUCUGUUUCUUUUCUAUAUAAUUUUCUCAUUAAUAACAUCGAGGUCCUCUCAGCUACCUUGGCAGAAGACCUUGCACAGAAGGUUUAUAGAAGAUGUGAAUAGCUUGUCCAAUUGAACUCACAACUGCAGAGCCAGUAACGGCAGGUAUGAUAUCAGGGGAAGGUAUUAUCAUGCCACCUGCUCUGGUCAUCUGGAGGUUCCCCAGACGCUGUGAGCACGCACGGGCUUGAGGGAUGUUGGAACUACUUCUCCCCCUCUGUUGCUAGUCUGUUGCCACCAUUAACCUUUGGUAAAUCCCCAGUGGAGAUGAUCCAUAAGGCCUGUGAGCUUUUAUCAGCCUCUAGAUUUUUGUGCUUUACCCUGGCAAGUAGGUUAUUUAGGCUGCUCAGAGGAUACUGCAGAAGCAGUACCCCCACCCCACCCCCUUUUUUGGAAAGGAAGUCAGUCAACAUGGAAGGCUCCAUCUCAUUAAUCCUGACCUUUGCAGUGGAAAAGCAGGUUUUACUUACCGUUCUAUAAUUAAACUAAGGCAAACACUGCUUCCUCUGUACCAGGCACUAUCCGACACAUAUUACACGUGUGUUCUCAUUUAACACCCCCUUAUCAGCCUUAAAGAUGCUCCUGUUCCCUUUUGUGAUUUGGGAGCACCUCUUGGACAGGCCAAUAGAUCAAGGCUUUUUUAAACCAAAAUGAUUCCAUUCCCGAGCCCGUUCUCCCUCCUGACCACACUGCCACUCCCAGGAAGACCCUUCCUCAUUUCAGAUGGGCCUGAUCCUUCCGCUCGGAAACCCAGACACAGGGGCUUGCAGGAUGCUCUUUCCUGCCUCGGAGCUAAGACUGCCGAAGGGGUCGGUGUCUGCUCACCCGCCCGCCCGCCCCCACCCGCGCCUGGAUGUGCCCGGCUCUGUGUGUUCAGAUCGUGCCCUGCAGCCCCGUGAGGGCUGUUUGGGAGGCUGGUGCGGAAAAGCCCAGGCGAGACGCAUCUUAAUGGUCUCUUGCACUUCAUUAUGAAGAAUUAUUAGGAGCUGCAGCAGCAGUCGCAAAAAAAAAAAAAAAAAAAAAAAAAGAAGUUCUGCUUUUCUUUUUCAAGGACAGGCAGCUGAGCAAGGAAAGUAAAGGAAAGAGUGGAAGGCAGGAGAAAGCAGCUCAGAGCUCAGCUGCUGCAGAGAAACAUCUGAGACGCUGCUCUGCGCUGACAUGGCGGCCGGCACCAGUUGGUGGCGAACAGAUGGCCUCGGAAUUGGUACAAGGGCAGCCUUCUUCAUUAGACUUGAUUAGUGACAUUAUCUCCUCAUUUUAAAGAAUGGCCUAAAUGAAAUCUUCAAAGAUCCUAGGAGGUUCUCUAGAGCUGAAGAUACUGCCAUUGAUCAAAUUGUGACAGUAUUUAUGAAAUUAAACCAUACCACACAGAGUCCGUUACUUUUCCAAAGAGAGAAAUGUUGGUGAAAUUAUUUACUUGAAGUCACUUUGACCAGUCAUCCAUUUAUAUGAGUAAAGCCAUGGGUACACAUGAGACAGUGAUGACUACUGGCAAACAGUGUAUGUAAUGUCAAGUUCACACAUGACUGGCAUGGGGAAUACUGGAAGAGCCUGGUUAUAAGAUCUGGGGCUUCAACCUCAACCCACUUAAUCAGACUCUCAGAAGAAAGGAUACAGGGAUAUGCAUUUUAGAUAGAUGCUACGAAAGGCCAAAGCAGGAAGGAAAUUUACUUUAGUUGAAUUCUGGCUCUGUCACCUUGCCAGUGCAGAGAGAAGACCACCUGACGAUUUGAUGAUCAAGAACGCCAUAUUGUCUCACUCAGUUUGCACGUCCUGACUCCUGGCUUCGUCUGUCAAAACAUAAGCUUUUAAUUUUCAAGAUUACUUUUCACUCCUAUCCCUGCUGCGGACUCAACCCAGGUGUAGCAGUUGUAGAAGAAAGGGCUUGAUCCACAUUCUCAGGACAAGAAGACUUGAUACUGAAGUUACCAACACGAGGUUCUUCUGGGUGCUAUGACCCUUGUCUCCCUAAAUGUGAAAUUCUAGAAGCACAGACCAAAGGACGGGCAGCACCCGAGCCACUUCUAAUGCGAUCUCACCCUGAAUACUGAGCCCCCUCUGAGCAGCCUGUCUUGCGGUGCUCUAGUUUGACGGGUGAGAUUAAGGGUUCUGGCUUGCCAUGUUUCAGCCGGCUAAAGCAUCCUCAGACAUAGAAUCCUUCAGGGAAGGACGUUUUAUAUGAUCCUUUUGCCACAUUUGUGGUGAUUUGUUGUUUUACAACUGCAAUGCAGGAAUGAGAAGGUAUAAUUAGCCCGCUGGGUCCAUUUGUAGACCCCAGCGGGGAUCUCUGCGGUUCGGGACGAGAGCAAGUCUCACUUCUUGUCUCAACCCACGAUUUUUUAUAAUGAUAACCUAAUAAGAGUUUACAAUUUAUGGAGGACCAUGUCAAAAAGCCCCCUGGGCUCCAGAGGGCAGGGGAGAGGAGAAAGAAAACAAAUACGAAACGUAAUACUCUGACUGUAAAUGAUAGAACCAAAGUAAGCUGACUUCUCUUUAGCACAAAAUACAGGAUUUAUAUGUGCUGAGCUAAACAAAGGUUGUCAAAUAUGAUCACCAAUAGAUUUGGCAUUUCUGGGUCAUGUGCCAGGAAAGGUGGCCAAAGAACGUAAGGCGUUUUAUGGAUUUAAAUCCCUUUUCUGGAAUGAAGCAGAAUAUGAACUAAUAAUACAUAGUUUAUGUUUCAUUCUUGGGAAGAGGCAGGAUGUGAGGCCUGUGUGCUGAGGAACGCUGACGGCGUUCCAGCUGGCUUUGUGCAGAAAUGCCAAGUACCACAGUUUCAUGCUAUAAUAUGCACUAUCCCCAACAGAUAUUAAAAUGCUUUUACAGUCACAUGUAAGACUUGCUUUUUAUUUGCCUUCUUUUCUCAAAAUACCAUUGGGCCUUAAAUUUGUUGUUCAUGCAGUGCCAUGACAUGGCAAUUAAGUUCUGCUUUUUUAUACUACACAUUUUUUUUUCAUUUGAAUUUAGUAAUAAUGGGUCAGUCUGUGUGUAGGGAGAACAUGUACAUGGCCUCUGUUCAAGGUCCUGGGCUCUACUCGCUCCCUAAGGGGUCCAGGGGCCAAUGACUAGUAUCUACAGGGUGACAUGCUGAGGCCAGGGAUUAGAGUAAGAAGCUGAACUCAUUGGAUUUCCCUCCUGAGUACUGCGUUAUGAUUACCUGACUCCCUGGACCAAGGAUAUUUAGGCUCAAGGUGUUAACCCAAGAGUCAUAGUGCUAAUUCAAAAUACUAUUGUGUGGUAUUUUCCCCCAGUGAUUUGGAAUAUAUGAGCCAAGAUUACCUUUGUGGGGAGGCUAGUGGGAUUGUUCUAAAGGCUGGCUGCCCAGUUCCAUAUAUGGACAAAGGGAUAAAGCUGAAAACCUCUCUCACUCAGAGUUUGCAAAUGUCUGUAGAGAUUGUGUGGUGCACAAAACAAAAAUUAUUUUAAAAUCUUACAGAACCUGAGGUAAAUGACUACCUUUUGUAUUACUAAAAUGCAAUUACUAUCAUGUAGAGAACCCGUGACCUUUUUAUAUUAAAAUUGGUCCCUGAGAAAUGUUGAAAAAAGGCAACUCUGUGGGUCAAGAAGUUACAUUAGUGGUUGCCUGGGGCAGGUGGCAGAAGUGGGGAUUCCCUGUCAGGAGGCGAGAGGGAUCUGAUUAGGGUGAGGAAAUGUGCUAAAACUGGAUUAGGGUAGUGGUUGCAGGGUAUUAGAGAUCUGCUAAGAAAAUCACUGAACUGUAUCCCUCGAUGAGUGACAUCUCUGGUAUAUAUAUAUAUUAUGUCUCAAUAAAGUUGUUAAAA